rnacentral:rRNA from 1 species
UCGGGGGUACUCGAGUGGCGAACGGGUGAGUAACACGUGGGCAAUCUGCCCUGCACUUCGGGAUAAGCCUGGGAAACUGGGUCUAAUACCGGAUAGGACCUUUAGGCGCAUGUCUUUAUGUGGAAAGCUUUUGCGGUGUGGGAUGGGCCCGCGGCCUAUCAGCUUGUUGGUGGGGUGAUGGCCUACCAAGGCGACGACGGGUAGCCGGCCUGAGAGGGUGUCCGGCCACACUGGGACUGAGAUACGGCCCAGACUCCUACGGGAGGCAGCAGUGGGGAAUAUUGCACAAUGGGCGCAAGCCUGAUGCAGCGACGCCGCGUGGGGGAUGACGGCCUUCGGGUUGUAAACCUCUUUCACCAUCGACGAAGGUUCGGGUUUUCUCGGAUUGACGGUAGGUGGAGAAGAAGCACCGGCCAACUACGUGCCAGCAGCCGCGGUAAUACGUAGGGUGCGAGCGUUGUCCGGAAUUACUGGGCGUAAAGAGCUCGUAGGUGGUUUGUCGCGUUGUUCGUGAAAUCUCACGGCUUAACUGUGAGCGUGCGGGCGAUACGGGCAGACUAGAGUACUGCAGGGGAGACUGGAAUUCCUGGUGUAGCGGUGGAAUGCGCAGAUAUCAGGAGGAACACCGGUGGCGAAGGCGGGUCUCUGGGCAGUAACUGACGCUGAGGAGCGAAAGCGUGGGGAGCGAACAGGAUUAGAUACCCUGGUAGUCCACGCCGUAAACGGUGGGUACUAGGUGUGGGUUUCCUUCCUUGGGAUCCGUGCCGUAGCUAACGCAUUAAGUACCCCGCCUGGGGAGUACGGCCGCAAGGCUAAAACUCAAAGGAAUUGACGGGGGCCCGCACAAGCGGCGGAGCAUGUGGAUUAAUUCGAUGCAACGCGAAGAACCUUACCUGGGUUUGACAUGCACAGGACGCGUCUAGAGAUAGGCGUUCCCUUGUGGCCUGUGUGCAGGUGGUGCAUGGCUGUCGUCAGCUCGUGUCGUGAGAUGUUGGGUUAAGUCCCGCAACGAGCGCAACCCUUGUCUCAUGUUGCCAGCGGGUAAUGCCGGGGACUCGUGAGAGACUGCCGGGGUCAACUCGGAGGAAGGUGGGGAUGACGUCAAGUCAUCAUGCCCCUUAUGUCCAGGGCUUCACACAUGCUACAAUGGCCGGUACAAAGGGCUGCGAUGCCGCAAGGUUAAGCGAAUCCUUUUAAAGCCGGUCUCAGUUCGGAUUGGGGUCUGCAACUCGACCCCAUGAAGUCGGAGUCGCUAGUAAUCGCAGAUCAGCAACGCUGCGGUGAAUACGUUCCCGGGCCUUGUACACACCGCCCGUCACGUCAUGAAAGUCGGUAACACCCGAAGCCAGUGGCC